rnacentral:rRNA from 1 species
CUGGCUCAGGAUGAACGCUGGCGGCGUGCUUAACACAUGCAAGUCGAGCGGAGAUAUGAAAUCGGAGAGCUUCGGCAGGAAGAUUUCAUAUUUAGCGGCGGACGGGUGAGUAACGCGUGGGAAGCUACCCAUCACUGGGGAAUAACGUUUGGAAACGAACGCUAAUACCGCAUACGCCCGAAAGGGGAAAGAUUUAUCGGUGAUGGAUGUGCCCGCGUUGGAUUAGCUUGUUGGUGGGGUAACGGCCUACCAAGGCGAUGAUCCAUAGCUGGUCUGAGAGGACGAUCAGCCACGCUGGGACUGAGACACGGCCCAGACUCCUACGGGAGGCAGCAGCUAAGAAUAUUGGACAACGGGGGAAACCCUGAUCCAGCCCAUGCCGCGUGAAUGAAGAAGGCCUUCGGAUUGUAAAGCUCUGUCUUCAGGGACGAUAAUGACGGUACCUGAGGAGGAAGCCACGGCUAACUACGUGCCAGCCGCUGC